GGGGGCGUACUGGUUUCGACGUGUUGUUGUUACCAAUAAGCGCAUGUCGAGUGUUGUCUAUAUUCUCGUAAAACAAGUAGGCAUAAAACAAUAAUUGGCGCUGAAGUCGGCGUAAUUGGUGCUUAAGUAAGCUCUAAUUCUUGUUCUAACGGCGUGUCUAUCAGCUGUUUUAACUCGUAUUACCCAGAUAGAAUUUAAAAAGCGAAGGUGAGCGAUUUAAUAGCUUUUUAAAUAGCAUAAGUCGCCUUGCGUGCCAACCGUGUGUGCUCGGGGCACGUUUGAAUUAAGCACAAUAAACAUGUAGUGCUUGUUGCUAAAAGCAGUGCGGACAUGGGUUCGACUCCCAUCGCCUCCACCA
rnacentral:tmRNA from 1 species